UCAAGCAAUGACCCCUGCUUCAAGCUCUUCAGUGGCUCACCUUCUGGGAACUCUCAGAUGGACACACGGAGUGAGCUUGGUGCCCCUGGCAUGUUUGGGAACCUGGCUCUCAAUGGCCCACUGGCAUUUCUUCAUCCAGGACUGUGAGACCCCACGGCAGGGGCUGUGCUCCAUUCACACUAUUCAGAGGCUUAGAUUUGUUUGCUGGGGACCUCCCUGAUGGCUGCUGGAGAUGAAAGCCCUCACCCUACAUUUGCAUGGGAGCUCUUAUAGCCAGGUGCCUGGGCUCCUAAUACACUGAAUCCACCCAGAUGAUCGCUAAUGGUGGCACUGGUGAUGGGGACCCUGAUCAGAAAUCCUGACCUUUCCACAGCCCUGGAGCCAAUGCCCAGUGUCUUCAGUGCAUGUCCAUCAGGUGGACCCGUGGACUCCCCUGGAUAGAUGAGGGGUAAGGCACAGCGCUGGAGGCAGCUGGUCCUGGACCUCACAGCAUAAGAAGUUGUGGGCACCACCAGGCUCUCAGGAUCCCCUGAGGCCCAGCCUCUCCUCUACCAGCCCUGUUCUCUGGGCUGGCUCAGAGCUGAUGAGAUGUGGCUGCAAAUUCUGGCUGUGGUUGGGAGAGAGAUCCAGAUGACAAUGCAGGAUGAACCAGACCUGGCAUUUGCAGAUGAGACAGGCGGGAGAGGUGGCCCAGUGGGUGAGUAGAAGGCACUUGUCGGAGCUUAGGAAGAGUCUUCAGUAAAUGCUGUUUGUGAGGUAAUUUUGCUUUUUAAAAUAUAAUUUUAUCUAAUUAAGGUGCAAUAAUAAUUACAUGUUGCACCCUAAUGCAUUCUGAAUUCCCAAAGUGUACUGCAAAAUAUACCACCAGGACAAACCAGAGCUAUCAAUAUGUAGUACAACAAACAUU